UACGGAGGAUGCGAGCGUUAUCCGGAUUUAUUGGGUUUAAAGGGUGCGCAGGCGGCACGGCAAGCCGGCGGUCAAAUCGCGGGGCUCAACCCCGCCCAGCCGUCGGAACUGCCGGGCUAGAGUGGGCGAGAAGUGCGCGGAAUGCGUGGUGUAGCGGUGAAAUGCAUAGAUAUCACGCAGAACUCCGAUUGCGAAGGCAGCACACCGGCGCCCUACUGACGCUCAGGCACGAAAGCGUGGGUAUCGAACAGG
rnacentral:rRNA from 1 species